GUGAUAGCUAAAUAUUAGCUAGCUGAUCAUAGCGUGUCUUGUCCACGUCUUUGUUCGGGACCUCAAGAACCUGGAAAGAAUCAAACCCCAGGGAACCCACCGUCCUAAGUCUGGGUCUUACUCAUCUUGAUCAAGGUCUUCUAGGUUGGCAGGGGAUUUUGUGUUUCAUUAUAUUUGCUCAACAAAAGCAACCAGCUAACCAAUCCACACAGAGAGGUGCAGUUAAAGAUCAGUCGAGGACCGAAGGUGGAAUCCGAAAAUAUACAUCACAAAAAAGAAAGCACAACAGAAGGAAAGAUAAGUGAAAAAGCAGGUGGGACAAAGGGAAAACAAAUACCCAAACACGCAUCUUAAAUUUAACCGUGUGAAUACUUGCUGCAAAGCUUUCCAUUGGAAGUCAGCGUGUCAGCGUGGAUGAGAAACUAAGACCUGCCCAUACGCUGUUUAUAAGAAAUGCACGAUACGGCAGAGAAAAAAUGAAAACCGAAAAAAGUCACCGGUAAUGAUGUAGAAGAUCUAACUACACUAAAAGAGUAAC